rnacentral:rRNA from 1 species
UACGAAGGGGGCUAGCGUUGCUCGGAAUCACUGGGCGUAAAGCGCACGUAGGCGGCUUCUUAAGUCAGGGGUGAAAUCCUGGAGCUCAACUCCAGAACUGCCUUUGAUACUGAGAGGCUUGAGUCCGGGAGAGGUGAGUGGAACUGCGAGUGUAGAGGUGAAAUUCGUAGAUAUUCGCAAGAACACCAGUGGCGAAGGCGGCUCACUGGCCCGGUACUGACGCUGAGGUGCGAGAGCGUGGGGAGCAAACAGG